GAUGAACGCUGGCGGCGUGCCUAAUACAUGCAAGUCGAGCGAAUGGAUUAAGAGCUUGCUCUUAUGAAGUUAGCGGCGGACGGGUGAGUAACACGUGGGUAACCUGCCCAUAAGACUGGGAUAACUCCGGGAAACCGGGGCUAAUACCGGAUAACAUUUUGAACCGCAUGGUUCGGAAUUGAAAGGCGGCUUCGGCUGUCACUUAUGGAUGGACCCGCGUCGCAUUAGUUAGUUGGUGAGGUAACGGCUCACCAAGGCAACGAUGCGUAGCCGACCUGAGAGGGGGAUCGGCCACACUGGGACUGAGACACGGCCCAGACUCCUACGGGAGGCAGCAGUAGGGAAUCUUCCGCAAUGGACGAAAGUCUGACGGAGCAACGCCGCGUGAGUGAUGAAGGCUUUCGGGUCGUAAAACUCUGUUGUUAGGGAAGAACAAGUGCUAGUUGAAUAAGCUGGCACCUUGACGGUACCUAACCAGAAAGCCACGGCUAACUACGUGCCAGCCGCCGCGGUAA
rnacentral:rRNA from 1 species